rnacentral:lncRNA from 1 species
CACACCACUGCACUCCAGCCUGGUGACAGAGCAAGACUCUGUCUCAAAAAAAAAAAAGAAAAGAAAACUUUUUAAUGCCGUUAUCAUAGUAGUAGUGGCGCAGUCUGGCCCUAGAGCCAGGUGUCUGCUGGCCUCUCCUGCUUUUCUCUCUCCUCCCUUGCUGGAAAGAGUGCAGAGAGUAGACUUGAACCCUGUCAUUUUGCUGCUGGAUGGUCAGAGAUCUCAAAGCAAGGCUUGUUGGACAAAUAAAUGAAGAUGAGCCCAAGAGCCCAGGAGAGGGACCGGGAACAGCAGGGCCUCCGUGACUCACACAAGCUUCAUCCCUGAACCAAGGACGCAGCCUGCCAACAAUGGCCCCAAGCCACACCCCGCCACAGGGGGAACUGAUGCUGCGGUGAGAAGUGACAGCUUUCUGUUGACUCUUUUUUUUUUCAAGCAGAAUAUGAAUUGAGACAUACUUUCAUUUUCAUAAUCAGAACCUAACACUUAGUAACCAAUGUUGGUGGAAGCAAAUGAGAUCACAGUUUGUCUGUUCCAAACUCAUCUCUGGGAAAAGGAGGAGGAAAAAUUAUUGGCACUAUGUUCAGAAUCAUAGCUGAAGAUGCAGAAAUUGUUCAUCCCAAUUUUGCCUUUGUAAGUAAUGUGGGGGCAGUUCUUAUUAGUAAUUGCCAAUCUCUACUGAGACACAGUAUUUUGCUAGGCGCUUUAUAUUCAUUUCCUGGUAUGAUCAUGACAUUAACCCUGUGAAAUGCGUACCCUUACUAUCUCCAUGUGAAGAAAUGAGGGAACUGAGGACCAGAGAGGUGAACUGACUUGUCCAAAGACACACAGUAAGGGCUGUGACUCUCCGCUUUCUAAGAUUUUUGUUCUUAUCGCUCCACAGCACAUAGCAGGCGUAGUAUGAAGGCAGCAUGCUGCACAAUUUCGCUGUUUGUUUCUUGGAAUAAUAAUUUAUAGGGGACUGCUUCUAGAUUCCAAAGGAAAGAGAAAGGAAAUAUGCCCCAAACUCAGGCUUUCAGCCUGGCCCUGCCUGACUCACUGAGCUGCAUUGGACAAAUGAUUCAUUCACUGGCCUUGACCUCAGUGGGUUUGGCCACCCAUUGAGAGUGAAGUCACACCUCCAGCACUGCGAUGCAUUUAUUGAUCCACUCACCUAGCUUCAUGGCAGGCAAGAAACAGGCCUGUGUGAGCCUGCCCAGGAUCAGGGACAGGAGAGCACACAGGUGUUUCUGGAUAUCCUCAAGCUGUAGCUGGGCUGCUCGAUUCUUCCCUAGGAGAUCCUCCGGGGGCCUGAAUUAGUUUGCUAGGGCUUCCGUAACAAAGCGCCACAGACUGAGCGGCUUAAAUAAAAAUGUGUCAUCUCAUGGUUCUGGAGGCUGGAAGUCUGAGAUCAAGGUGCUGGGGAUUAGGACUUGAACAUAUGUUUUUUGGGGGCACACUUCAACCCUCCGGAGGGCCUGUGCCCCAAAGAGAGCCUCCUUCUGUGUGCAGUGAAGGUGUGAGUUCUAAACAUGAGAAAAAAACACCCCUUGUUCUUGGAUAGGGUGACUCGAUACCACAAGCAGGUCCAACUGGCCCAGGUAAAUAUAUUCGUUUAACAUGAUCGUCACCAAAAUAUUGAGGGUAGGUGUUUUUUUCUGGAGUUAAACAAGUUGAUUCUGGAGUUGAUAUGAAAUAAUAAACAAGCAAAAAUAG